UGGGGAAUUUUGGACAAUGGGCGCAAGCCUGAUCCAGCCAUGCCGCGUGCAGGAUGAAGGUCUUAUGGAUUGUAAACUUCUUUUACACGGGAAUAAAGUGGGGGACGUGUCCCCCUUUGCAUGUACCGUGUGAAUAAGGAUCGGCUAACUCCGUGCCAGCAGCCGCGGUAAUACGGAGGAUCCGAGCGUUAUCCGGAUUUAUUGGGUUUAAAGGGUGCGCAGGCGGGAUGUUAAGUCGGCGGUGAAAUUUUGCAGCUCAACUGUAAAAGUGCCUUCGAUACUGGCCUUCUUGAGUGUGGAUGAAGUAGGCGGAAUUUGUGGUGUAGCGGUGAAAUGCUUAGAUAUCACGAGGAACUCCGAUUGCGCAGGCAGCUUACUAAGCCACAACUGACGCUCAUGCACGAAGGCGUGGGGAUCAAACA
rnacentral:rRNA from 1 species